UUUAAAUGGCCGCAGUAUAUUAACUGUGCAAAGGUAGCAUAAUCAUUAGUCUUUUAAUUGAAGGCUGGUAUGAAUGGUUGGACGAGAUAUUAACUGUUUCAUUGUAAUUUAUAGUAGAAUUUUAUUUUUUAGUCAAAAAGCUAAAAUAAAUUUAAAAGACAAGAAGACCCUAUAAAUCUUUAUAUUUAAAGUAUUAUAGUUUUAUAGAUUAUUUUUACUAUAAUAUUCAAUAAUAUUUUAUUGGGGUGAUAUUAAAAUUUAAUUAACUUUUAAUUAUUUAAAUCAUUAAUUUAUGAAUAAUUGAUCCAUUAUUAGUGAUUAAAAAAAUAAGUUACUUUAGGGAUAACAGCGUAAUUUUUUUGGAGAGUUCAUAUCGAUAAAAAAGAUUGCGACCUCGAUGUUGGAUUAAGAUAUAAUUUUAGGUGUAGCUGCUUAAAUUUUAAGUCUG
rnacentral:rRNA from 1 species